rnacentral:rRNA from 1 species
CCUACGGGAGGCAGCAGUGGGGAAUAUUGGACAAUGGGGGGAACCCUGAUCCAGCCAUGCCGCGUGUGUGAAGAAGGCCCUCGGGUUGUAAAGCACUUUCAGUGAGGAAGAACGCCUGGUGGUUAAUACCCAUCAGGAAAGACAUCACUCACAGAAGAAGCACCGGCUAACUCCGUGCCAGCAGCCGCGGUAAUACGGAGGGUGCGAGCGUUAAUCGGAAUUACUGGGCGUAAAGCGCGCGUAGGUGGCUUGAUAAGCCGGUUGUGAAAGCCCCGGGCUCAACCUGGGAACGGCAUCCGGAACUGUCAAGCUAGAGUGCAGGAGAGGAAGGUAGAAUUCCCGGUGUAGCGGUGAAAUGCGUAGAGAUCGGGAGGAAUACCAGUGGCGAAGGCGGCCUUCUGGACUGACACUGACACUGAGGUGCGAAAGCGUGGGUAGCAAACAGGAUUAGAUACACUAGUAGUC